rnacentral:lncRNA from 1 species
AACCUUACUUAAUAUGAUACCCUUGUAUUAAUUUGCACUCUCAAGUUGCGCUUUAUUGUUUCAAAUUUCUUAUGCUUCUAAUCUGUCUUUUUUUUUUCUUUCAGUAUUGACUUAAAUAUCGAACUAGAAGAAGAAAAUGAAGAAGAAAUUAUUGAAAAAAGAAGGAAAAAGAGGGAGGAACUAUUGAAAGUAAGUUUGCCUCUUUCUUCUAGCUCUCGCUCUAACAACAGGUAUAUUAUCAAGCUUGUUAAUCCAUCAAAUAACUUUUAUCAUUCUUGGAUAUGAUGGGUCAGUUGUGCUGAUCUCAGAAUCUUGUUUUGAUGCUUCCAAUAAUUGUUCCUUUUAGAAACUGAGGAUAUCCUCGUGCUCAGUUUACUCAGCUGUUUCAUUUUAAACAUGGAAUUUACACAAUUUUCGACAACUGCAAAUUCUUAAUUGAUGCAUAAUGUUUCUUGCUUAGACAAUUUCGGCUGUAGUUUAAAAUUUAGUCCAGAAAAAUUGUCUUUUAGAAUUCUGAUCAUUUUUUUUUUUGCAGCGACUAGGUGCAAACACGAGUGAAGAUUCAAAUCCGCCGACGAAAGCUCCGUCGCCGGCGAGACCAACCAAAGAUACGGUCAAACUGGAGGAAAAACCGCUCAAAGAACCUGCGCCACCCACUGCAAGCAAAGUCCAUAGCAGUAGUAAAGAGCCAAAGGAGUCGCGUAGCAAAGAACCAAGCAGUAGUAGCGAACCAGCAGCGGUAACGAAGCAGCAGCAGAGCAAUAUUAGUAAAGAAGCGAAGGGAUCGAGCAGUGGCAAGGAAGCGAAAGAGUCCUCGAGCAGUAAGGAACGCAAGGAUAGCGUGAAGGAAUCAGGAAAAGAAUCUGGUCAGGAUGUAGCGGAGACACCGACGAAAGUGAAACGCAAGUCUCGCUUUGAGCAAGUUGAUCAGGAGAAGCAGACGUCUAGUUCGCAAGCAAAAGGCGAGCCAGAUAAGAAGAAAAGUGAUAAAAAUUGGGACAUGUUUGCUGAAGUUAUGGAUGGAGAAAGUUAUAGUAGCCCAGGUGUUGACGGGAAGAAACGAACUGGCCCAGAGAACCUGCUCUGA